rnacentral:rRNA from 1 species
ACAUGAAGCUGGAAUCGCUAGUAAUCGCGGAUCAGAAUGCCGCGGUGAAUACGUUCCCGGGUCUUGUACACACCGCCCGUCACACCAUGGGAGUCGGAAAUGCCCGAAGCCAGUGACCCAACUGCAAAGAGGGAGCUGUCGAAGGCAGGUCUGAUAACUGGGGUGAAGUCGUAACAAGGUAAC